UCGGGAAGUAGCUCAGCUUGGUAGAGCGCCUGGUUUGGGACCAGGAGGUCGCAGGUUCGAAUCCUGUCUUCCCGAU
rnacentral:tRNA from 1 species